GCUAAUACAUGCAAGUCGAACGAACUCUGGUAUUGAUUGGUGCUUGCAUCAUGAUUUACAUUUGAGUGAGUGGCGAACUGGUGAGUAACACGUGGGAAACCUGCCCAGAAGCGGGGGAUAACACCUGGAAACAGAUGCUAAUACCGCAUAACAACUUGGACCGCAUGGUCCGAGUUUGAAAGAUGGCUUCGGCUAUCACUUUUGGAUGGUCCCGCGGCGUAUUAGCUAGAUGGUGGGGUAACGGCUCACCAUGGCAAUGAUACGUAGCCGACCUGAGAGGGUAAUCGGCCACAUUGGGACUGAGACACGGCCCAAACUCCUACGGGAGGCAGCAGUAGGGAAUCUUCCACAAUGGACGAAAGUCUGAUGGAGCAACGCCGCGUGAGUGAAGAAGGGUUUCGGCUCGUAAAACUCUGUUGUUAAAGAAGAACAUAUCUGAGAGUAACUGUUCAGGUAUUGACGGUAUUUAACCAGAAAGCCACGGCUAACUACGUGCCAGCAGCCGCGGUAAUACGUAGGUGGCAAGCGUUGUCCGGAUUUAUUGGGCGUAAAGCGAGCGCAGGCGGUUUUUUAAGUCUGAUGUGAAAGCCUUCGGCUCAACCGAAGAAGUGCAUCGGAAACUGGGAAACUUGAGUGCAGAAGAGGACAGUGGAACUCCAUGUGUAGCGGUGAAAUGCGUAGAUAUAUGGAAGAACACCAGUGGCGAAGGCGGCUGUCUGGCUGUAACUGACGCUGA
rnacentral:rRNA from 1 species